GAAAGCCUGUCUCAGUUCGGAUUGAGUCUGNAACCCGACUCCAUGAAGCUGGAUUCGCUAGUAAUCGCGCAUCAGCCACGGCGCGGUGAAUACGUUCCCGGGCCUUGUACACACCGCCCGUCAGGCCAUGGGAGCCGGGAGUGCCUGAAGUACGUGACCGCAAGGAGCGUCCUAGGGUAAGACCGGUGACUGGGGCUAAGUCGUAACAAGGUACC
rnacentral:rRNA from 1 species